CGGCAGCACAGAUACUAAAAUUGGAACGAUACAGAGAUCAGCAUGGCCCCUGAGCAAGGAUGACAUGAAAUUUGUGAAGCGUUCCACAUUUAA
rnacentral:snRNA from 1 species